AUUUUCCUUAAUAAUUUUUAAUCUUUAGAUUUUAAUCUUACAGAUUUUAUUUCUUUAAAACUCCAUUUCAAGUUAUCAACCACACACGUAUCACGUAUUAAUCCUAUCUUUGAUAAUCGGAAAGAAUGAUCUAAAGGCUGUCAAUAAAUCGUAAAACAAAAACCAGCAACGAGCAAUUACAAAAAUAUAUUUAUAAGCAUUGGAAAUCUGACUCUCGAGUUGUAUCGAGUUGUUACAUAAAAAUGACUGAUUACUUUCAAAACGAUAUUUCUAUAUAAACGUACAUCGGAUGAAAUAUGAUGAAACACCGCAUUCAAGAGAUUUGAAAAAAUCUUGGUAGCGUAAACGUACGUGAUCUUGUGCAUUGUUCAUCUUUAUCUCAUCGGUGAAGCGUUUUUUUCAUCCGACAAGAAACGAGAUUAAACGGUAUUGACAUUGCCGAUUCGAGUUGUAACAGGAAGCAGACACAACAUCUCGCUUCGUUAUCGACGAUCCAACGGUCAGUUGACCUUAGAUCGUCGCCGAGAGGAGGAGUUUUAUCCGUCUUCGUGAUCCUUUCUUAUGUGGAUCGACAGAUAUUGUGCAAUUGUUUCUACGGAGUUGCAGAGUGAAAAACUCGAGGGAUUUUCAGAGGGUAAAAAAAAAUAAAAAAAGGAAGGAUCUUUCGAUCGAGACAUCGCGGAGGGCCAAAUGCCACGCCCUGUAUCCGCAAUGCACCCCCUGCGAGAGUCGGCGUCGCAGGGAGCCGUGGAAAAGGGAGCAGUGUCAGUCCAUCGAGGGCGGACAUGCGCACUUCCGCCAACCGGAGCCUCCUACGAAUCAUAGGAUGCUGCGCUGAACCAAUGGUGGGGGAGAUGCCCGCCAUUGGUCCCCUCUCAUCUGCACGAGCUUUUAUCUCGUUUCCCUCUCUUCCGCUCCACUAACUUCCCCCACCACUCCGUGCCUCCUCCUUCCCUCGUUCCUGCAUCUCCCCUUUUUCCUUUACAUUUCGCUGCCUACACAUUUUUUUCUUCGUUUUUUCCAACCGAUCAUUCCAAUUGCCAUCUUUUUUAAUCAUUUUUUCCCACUCGUGCGAGGUAAUUCUUCUUUUUCGAUAUGUAUCGAUAUGUUAUAGAAUUCGUUGCUCGCGGAGAAACGGAUGGAUUGGUGUUAAAUAUAAUUUUUCUGGAAAAAAACG